GUUCCUACUUGUGGAUUGGUGAAUAGUGUUGAGAGAGAGGGGGUCAGACAUCAGCUGCCACCAUGAGUACGGACGCAGAGAUGGCCAUCUAUGGCAAGGCUGCCAUUUACCUCCGGAAGCCAGAAAGGAGA